GGUCUUAUACUGGCCAACUGGUUGAACAAAUUCUAGGAACUGACAAUUCGUAUGUUCCGCCGCUGUCCCUCUCUGAAGUUCAGAUUCACAAGCCUCCUCCAUAAUAAGGCUUUGUUCCGAGAUGUCUUCGCCUUGCGGUAAAUCUCUCCAAUUUGGUACAUAAAUCAGUAAGCAUCGUCUCUUGUGCUACAUGUGGAACACUUCGUGUCACAAUGCAAUGUAUGAUUAGAACCAUGUGAUCGUUUGCGGUUCAGGUAUUAUCCAUUCCUCAUCCUUCUUUUCUGUAGGUGUCCUCCUUAUUCUCCAAAAGGAUCAUGCACAUCUUUACGAAUAGGAUGUCUUCCCCUCGGUUCCAUAGGGCGUAAUUUGUAGCUGUGGAAAGAAUAAUAUAGCUACCAAAAUUAUUCUCCGCCAUCUUACUUUCUCAAAUAGAAAGCCCCAAAAAUAUCGAAAAACCGACCCGCAGGUUGAGAUUCCAGAAUGCCGAGAAAGAAAGAAGAAACUCAGAAAGGGCUUUUCCGUCAGAGGAAUCAGACUCUUCUGGGAACCCAAAUUGAUUAAAUUAAAACUUAGGGACUAAAUUGCACUUUUCCAAACUUCAGGGACCAAAUGAAAAUACCAAAAGUCCCAGGGACUAAAAGUGUAAUUUUCACUUUUUGGUCAACGUUCCAAGUUUGAUCGGUCAAAACGUCAACGAUGGGUUUUGCUGGUCAAACGUCGCAGGUCCACUGCUGGAGUUGGCUUGUCGCGGCUCGGCUGCAACGCGGUCAACGGCUCAGGUUGACCGGCUAGCGGCUCGGUCCACGAUCAACGGCUCUGGGUUGACCGGGGAUCACGCGAAAUGGUGGCGGCUUGGCCCGCGGCUCGACUCGGCGCGGCUCGACACGCGGCGCCGGAUGCUCCACCGCGCGAUUUUUUUUUUUUUUUUUUUUUGGAGGACCAGCUGGCGCGUGCCCCACUUGCUGGCGCGUGCAAGGCUCGUGGCGGCGCGUGAGGCCACGUGGCCGCGCGUGGUUGGCGCGUGGACGGCGUCAGACUCUCAAUAGGCGCGGCGGGCCGCGUGGCUGAUUCCUAUUCCGUGCGCGUGGCCUUGAAUUUCAGUCGUCUCCUACUCUGGGCGCGCGUGUGGCGCGUGUAAUCUGACGCGCCGAACUUCAAACUGCGCUUAGGGCCGUUUGGAGUCCUUUUUGACUCCGUUUGGUGCUGGGCUUCGUAUCGAAGAGACGAAGGUGAUGGUAGCCUCAAAUAUCAGUUUUUGAGCAAUUCGAAUUUCUCAGUAAUUCAAGAUGUACUCCGGUGGCAACUCCCGGUGACGUCGAAUUUGGCUCUGAUACCAAUUGUUGUGCUCAAAACGAUUACCGUCACUCUACCAACAUCAACCACACACCCAAAGACAAGAUUUUACGUAGUUCGUCCAACAAUACCUACGUCCAACGGAGAGGAUCUAUACUUCACAUCACAGAAAUGAUUACAAUAAAUACAGAUAGGAGAAUCACACUCAACUCACUUCAACCUCUCAUCUCUCAGUUCUUCUCUCUCCUGCUUUUCCCACAAGCCUCUCUGUACUCUUUACAAAAUUUCUCGCCUUCCCCUCUCUCGUCUCCCUCCCACAACCAUCUCUAUUUAUAGACUACAGACAAGGGAUGAGCUCAUGUCUGAGCUCAUUCAUGCAUCCUUGUUAGACCAUGGAGGGGGGAAGGAGCGCCUUCCAUCUUCACCUCUUCAUUCACUUUCGGCGCCCUCUGACUGCUUUCUGUCAGAGCUCUCUUUCCCUCUCUCUUCUCCUCUCUGUCUUCCUUCCUUUCCAUUCUAUUUACAUUAAAUGAAUGAGUUAUGGGCUUCCCAACUUUUGGCGUUGGGCUUGAACUUGGCCUUCAAUUUGUGGGCUGGACUUCCACACUAAGUUGUGCUCUGUUCUUCCUAAAAACAGUUAACUAAGAGAUGACCAACAAAGC
rnacentral:lncRNA from 1 species